rnacentral:lncRNA from 1 species
AACACCAGGAAAAGCCCCCUUUGAUAAGGAGAUAACGACCACAGAGCAGCUCUCCCAAGCCUGCUCCUGGCUCGGAAGAGACGCUCUCCCAGCGGCUCAUCCCUGCCGUCCCGGAGCGACCCCUGUGCAGACACCGAGUCUGCGAGUCUGCCCGGGGAAUUGUUGCGUCGCCCUAUUAACAAGCGACCCGAUCGCAUUCGGUUGGAGUCUUGUGCGUCUCCAGCUGAGACUGGGGGACGUGCCUCCGGCAAAGCCCUUUAGAAGAAUUCCAUCUUUCCUUCGCUGCACGUUAUGGUCACGUGGAGAGCAGAGUGACUCCGGCUCCAUCUGGUUUCCAUGCUGAAACUGAUGACCGCGGGGACCACGCUCCAGGAGGGCAGGAGAAACCUUCUGACUCGCAUACUGGACCAGGUCUCUAAGGAGCCAGGCGGGUCUCCCAAGGAAACUGAAAUGGCUUGAGAGAGAAGGAAGGAGCCUGGCUUUCAUCUAAAGGACAGGAGAUGACGAGUGUUGGCGAGGAUGUGGAGAACAGGGAGCCUUGUGCUGUUGGUGCGGAGUUUCAGGAUGGACCACGUGGGGCUCCAGUGACAGCACGGUGACCGUGGUGAACAGCGCUGCAUCGUCCACCUGAAAUUUGCUGAGAGUGCAUCCUAAGUGUUUCCACCACACACAAAAUGCUGAUCCUGUGAGGGGGCGAGUGCGUUAACGAGCUUGAUUGUGGCGAUCGUUUCACAAAGUCUACGACUGUCAAGUCAUCACGUUCUCCACAGGUGAAAAGAACAAGGCGCUGACACCUGACACGACGUGGAUGAACCUCGAAAACAUCAUGCUGAGUGAAAGAAGCCAGACUUUGCGGCCACAGAUCGUGUGAUUCCUCUGACAGGAAAUGUCCAGAACAGGCUCUUCGGAAGCUGAGGAAGGCUCCUCUGCGUGCAGGUGCAGCCGGAAGCACAGAGACUGAGCUCCAGGAGGAGACACCCGGCCGGCGGAGAAUGAGAGUUGGGGGAUGGACGUCCCAACCCCCAUCCUCCAGAGAGCCCGCUCCAGGACUGUCCAGACAAACCACCAGAAAACAAAGCUAAGACACGACAGAAGAGAACACGAUUGAAGACCAAGAGCGGUCACAAUGUCGGAUGCUGCAGACAGCCCACAAACGAUGGUCACAGGGAGACAAGCCGAAAAAGAAGGAUUGGGACUCGGGGAAAAGAACUUCAUUUCACAUGCCUAACUCAUCC